ACCUGACUGCUAUCGGAUUGAUACUAAGCCAUGCGAGUCAUUGUAGCAAUACAAGGCAUACGGCUCAGUAACGCGUAGUCAACCUAACCUAUGGACGGGAAUAACCUCGGGAAACUGAGAAUAAUGCCCGAUAGAACACUAUACCUGGAAUGGUUUGUGUUCCAAAUGAUUUAUCGCCAUAGGAUGGGACUGCGGCCUAUCAGUUUGUUGGUGAGGUAAUGGCCCACCAAGACUAUUACAGGUACGGGCUCUGAGAGGAGUAGCCCGGAGAUGGGUACUGAGACACGGACCCAGGCCCUAUGGGGCGCAGCAGGCGAGAAAACUUUGCAAUGUGCGAAAGCACGACAAGGUUAAUCCGAGUGAUUUGUGCUAAGCGAAUCUUUUGUUAGUCCUAGAAACACUAACGAAUAAGGGGUGGGCAAGUUCUGGUGUCAGCCGCCGCGGUAAAACCAGCACCUCAAGUGGUCAGGAUGAUUAUUGGGCCUAAAGCAUCCGUAGCCGGCUCUGUAAGUUUUCGGUUAAAUCUGUACGCUUAACGUACAGGCUGCCGGGAAUACUGCAGAGCUAGGGAGUGGGAGAGGUAGACGGUACUCGGUAGGAAGUGGUAAAAUGCUUUGAUCUAUCGAUGACCACCUGUGGCGAAGGCGGUCUACCAGAACACGUCCGACGGUGAGGGAUGAAAGCUGGGGGAGCAAACCGGAUUAGAUACCCGGGUAGUCCCAGCUGUAAACUAUGCAAACUCAGUGAUGCAUUGGCUUGUGGCCAAUGCAGUGCUGCAGGGAAGCCGUUAAGUUUGCCGCCUGGGAAGUACGUACGCAAGUAUGAAACUUAAAGGAAUUGGCGGGGGAGCACCACAAGGGGUGAAGCCUGCGGUUC
rnacentral:rRNA from 1 species